GGAGACCUUGGCGAGGCGGCGGAGACGCUUAACGGAGGUGAAAGCUUUGGCGGAAAGGAAAGUCCAGCGGCAAGAUGCAGAGCUGGAGUCGUGUGUACUGUUCUUUGGCUAAGAGAGGCCAUUUCAGUCGAAUAUCUCAUGGUCUGCAAGGAGUUUCUGUUGUGCCACUGAGAACUUACACAGAUCAACCAAUUGAUGCUGAUGUAACAGUGAUAGGUUCUGGUCCUGGAGGAUAUGUUGCUGCUAUUAAAGCUGCCCAGUUGGGCUUCAAGGCAGUCUGCGUUGAGAAAAAUGAAACACUCGGUGGAACAUGCUUGAACGUUGGUUGUAUUCCUUCUAAGGCUUUAUUGAAUAACUCUCAUUAUUACCAUAUGGCCCAUGGAAAAGAUUUUGCAUCUAGAGGAAUUGAAAUGUCUGAAGUUCGCUUGAAUUUAGAGAAGAUGAUGGAGCAGAAGAGUAAUGCAGUAAAAACUUUAACGGGUGGUAUUGCCCACUUAUUCAAACAGAAUAAGGUUGCUCAUGUAAAUGGAUAUGGAACGAUAACUGGGAAAAAUCAGGUCACCGCUACGAAAGCCGAUGGCAGCACUCAAGUUAUUGAUACAAAGAACAUUCUUAUAGCCACAGGUUCAGAAGUCACUCCUUUUCCUGGAAUUACGAUUGAUGAAGAUACAGUAGUGUCAUCUACAGGUGCUUUGUCUUUAAAAAAAGUUCCAGAAAAGAUGGUUGUCAUUGGUGCAGGAGUAAUAGGUGUAGAAUUGGGCUCAGUUUGGCAAAGACUUGGUGCAGACGUGACAGCAGUUGAGUUUUUGGGUCAUGUUGGUGGAAUUGGAAUUGAUAUGGAGAUAUCUAAAAACUUUCAACGCAUCCUUCAAAAACAAGGAUUUAAAUUUAAAUUGAAUACCAAAGUUACUGGUGCUACUAAGAAGUCAGAUGGAGAAAUUGAUGUUUCUAUUGAAGCUGCUUCUGGUGGUAAAGCUGAAGUUAUCACUUGUGAUGUACUCCUGGUUUGCAUUGGCCGACGACCCUUUACUAAGAAUUUGGGACUAGAGGAGCUUGGAAUUGAGCUGGAUCCUAGAGGUAGAAUUCCAGUAAAUACCAGAUUCCAAACUAAAAUUCCAAAUAUCUAUGCAAUCGGCGAUGUGGUUGCCGGUCCAAUGCUGGCUCACAAAGCAGAGGAUGAAGGCAUUAUCUGUGUUGAAGGGAUGGCUGGUGGCGCUGUGCACAUUGACUACAAUUGUGUACCAUCGGUGAUUUACACACACCCUGAAGUUGCUUGGGUUGGCAAAUCAGAAGAGCAGUUGAAAGAAGAGGGUAUUGAGUACAAAGUUGGGAAAUUCCCAUUUGCUGCUAACAGCAGAGCUAAGACAAACGCUGACACAGAUGGCAUGGUGAAGAUCCUUGGGCAGAAAUCAACAGACCGAGUAUUGGGAGCACAUAUUCUAGGACCAGGUGCUGGUGAAAUGAUAAAUGAAGCUGCUCUUGCACUGGAAUAUGGAGCAUCCUGUGAAGAUAUAGCUAGAGUCUGUCAUGCACAUCCGACCUUAUCAGAAGCUUUUAGAGAAGCAAACCUGGCUGCAUCAUUUGGCAAAUCGAUCAACUUUUAAAUUAGAAGAUUAUAUUUUUCUGAAAUUUCCUGGGAGCUUUUAUAGAGGUAACAUUUCUGAACAGGAAAUGCUCACCGCUCCAAGAAUUUCUAGGACUGAAUUACGAAACUUGUGGAAGACUUUGAAGAAAAACACAGCAGCACCACUCAGCUGUGUUGUGGCGGAUGGACUACAGGAGGGAUUUCGAAUGUCUGAUGUAACAUGAGCACAGAUCCAGAGCAUGGAGUACCAGCUCUGUACCUAAGCAGCUUCAAGCCCAUACAGUCCCACAAACUCCAAAGAUGUAAGUGACUCCAGUGUACUAUUAUGCCUCCCAGCCACCCACCAAAAAUGCUCUCAUGUGAACCUCAGGGAUCUCCUUCAAGAUGGGACAUUCAGAAAGCAAGCCCCACCGCCACCAGGAAGACAGUGGGAGCAACCCAGAGGAGCUUUCCCUACCCGACCCCCUUCAAGCCACGUCUCAUCAAAGGAGCCGCCUCCUUCCACCAACAAAGCAACCCUUUAGUUUUUCCUGAGAAAGAAGUAGUACCAGUAAGAAUGGAAUAUGAUAACCAUUUAGCUUUCACAAUGUUUCACUUGGAAUCUAAACCCAGCUGCAUUUUGUUCUGUAUCUUCCUGUCUCCAAAGCUGUACUUUAGGCAUCUGUUUGUCAAUUACUCGUAUAUACAGUGUGCCUGUGUGUAUGUAUCUCAAAGAAAGGAAUAUUUGAGAAGACCUUACCCCUGGGUAUCACCUAACUCAGUAUCAUUGUCUUCUCAGGAAUAUAAUCGUACAAAAAACUGGGAAAAUGCAGAGAUGCUGAACGGUUGGGGGCCAAUCAAAAAAUGAUGUUUAAGGCUGAGAGAAUACCGUGACCCAACUCAAAGAAAAAGUGCUUAAAAGGAUUUGCGGGUUAAAUUAUAUUUUGUAAACCUGAUGGCUCUUUUCCUGAGGCUAGUUUUUUUUUUUCAGUGCUUUGCUUUUAUUAAUCGGUUGAUUCACAGAAGGCUUUCAUUUCUCCUCAGGUCUCGUACAAAGUUAUAAUUUUACAAAGUCAAAUCUCACAUUGCAUAUUUGUAAAUAAUGCCCCUUUGGAUCCUGGACCUUGCGUCCCUGGCUACUGUGUUGGAAAAAUGAUUGAUGAAAUUGGUGUUCCCAAGGUGAUUCCAAUCUGUCUGAUUAGGUGAAGAGUGAAGGUAGGACCAGGGCUGUCUGAGGAAGGGAGUCGCUCUUUCUGGCAGGCUCUUGAUGGAUACCAGAUUUUCUUGUUUUCCCUUAAGGUGCAUGACACCCAGGCCAAGAAAUCGUUUCCUAAAUGGGCUUGCACUCAGACCAUGGCCUUCCACAGGGCCUCCCACAGCUCGUUAUCGCUACAUUUAAGAAGGCUGAGCUGUACCACGGUCUUUUUAGUGAGGUUAAAUUCCUCACUAAGUGCAUUAUGGCCCCACAUCAGACAUCGCCUAACACCCUGGUGAACCGCAUGAUCUUGGCCAUGAGCUCUGAGGCUUGAAAUCAAGGGACUAGUUACUUUAAAUCUAGAAGGUCUAGGAAGGACCUCCUACAAGGUACUUGAGCUAAUGUUAGCGGUUAGCUUCCUGCUUCUCAUACACAGCGCUGAGAUGAAAAGGCCAUCUCACUUCUUAGAGGUGCUGAUUAAAAGUCCCAUCACACAAAAUGUGACCGUAGUUCUGUCACGAUACAAUAUCGCCUCAACGUAUAGGACUUAGCCAUGAGUCAACCCCCUCGCUCACGCCAAACGGCGAGUCUACAAUAAAAACCCGUAGCAUUGGGGGAAACACGAAUGCUUCAUACCCUUUCCUGUUUCGGCCUUUAGCCUAGACCUUAUUAUGCUGUUUUGGGUCGGGGCGGGGGGUCCUUUUUGGCAAAGGGAGUUGGAAUGUUUGAGAGCAGAAAGAUGACUGGCUGGGAGAAAGUUCAGCAUCACUUUGCUCAAUUCUCUCUGCUUCCACUGGCAAAAUACACACUUUCCAAUUAGAGAGAUGAUGACCCAGAGAAGGGCUAAGAAGAGGAAUUUUCAUUACAGAGAAUUUGUUAUAAUUAGAUGAAUGAAGCACUGCUCUAGUGGACCAACAGCUGAGGAGCGCAAAUAACCUAGAAAUAGGAGGCUUAUUUGUGGUAACGGACUUUCCCUGGUAGUAGCAAAACAUAAUAACAAUUCAUACUGUUCUCUGCAAUUACCUUACCAUUUCGUAGAUCAGUCCUUUUGUUACUCUGUCAG